GAGUUUUGAGGAGAUUUAUUCCUAGUACGAGAGGACCGGAAUGAACCAACCUCUGGUGUAUCAGUUGUCCUGCCAAGGGCAUUGCUGAGUAGCCACGUUGGGAACGGAUAAGCGCUGAAAGCAUAUAAGCGCGAAACCGACUCCAAGAUGAGAACUCUUAGAUUUCCCCGAGAUGAGGGGAUUGAUAGGCUCCAGGUGUAAGUCCCGUAAGGGAUUCAGCCGGGGAGUACUAAUAAAU
rnacentral:rRNA from 1 species